CGGGGCUUAAAGUCUUGUAAUUGGAAUGAUGGGAAUUUAAACCUCUUCCAGAGUAUCAAUUGGAGGGCAAGUCUGGUGCCAGCAGCCGCGGUAAUUCCAGCUCCAAUAGCGUAUAUUAAAAUUGUUGCAGUUAAAAAGCUCGUAGUUGAAUUUCUGCUGCAUUGCUUGUGUCCCUCUGGGGUCUGUGCAUGUGGCUUUUUUCGGACGGAGUUUCUUUGUCUGAAUAUUUACUUUGAGAAAAUUAGAGUGCUCAAAGCAGGCUUUCGCCUUGAAUAGUUUAGCAUGGAAUAAUAAAGUAGGACUUUGGUUCUAUUUUGUUGGUUUUAGGUACCAAAGUAAUGGUUAAUAGGAACAGUUGGGGGCAUUCGUAUUUAACUGUCAGAGGUGAAAUUCUUAGAUUUGUUAAAGACGAACUACUGCGAAAGCAUUUGCCAAGGAUGUUUUCAUUAAUCAAGAAC
rnacentral:rRNA from 1 species